GCGGCGGCUCCGCAGGAAGUCCGCGAUCUGGCCGCCGAUGGGCACGAUGAUGGUCAUGACCAGUCCCGUCUCCUCUAGAGUCUGCAGGAACCGUCCCUGAUCUACACGCUGUGCAGAUAAAUCCUCCUGGAAUCUGAGUGACAAUGUAGCCCCAGAAAAAGGAGCCGUGUAUGAGGCCGACAGUCUCUGGAUCCCAGCUGAACUGGGCUUUCUGCGGGCCAAAAUGUACAUUAAAUCAGCCGCCCUGUCCAGGCUCUGCCGCUCCACCAAUCAGCACCCACAGACUUAGCGUCUCGACCUAUCAGCAACGAGGAACCCCUCCCACCUCCAAAAGCCUGCCAAUCAAAGCUCACACUAUCUUUCUGUCAAUUAAAGUCUACAAACU
rnacentral:lncRNA from 1 species